CACCGCUGUCAUCACAUGCAACAAGUCUCCCUGUCCAUAAUCGUGAAUUUUACGUCUUCUGACCCGUCAGCGGCUACUUCUUUGACCGCUUGAGGGGUGCGGCUGGAGGGUCCUGAAGUGCAACGGAUCUGGUUGCACAGACCAUGCUUGUCUGGACAUUGGCUGUACAGAACACAACACCUUGCACAGGCGUAUCAUGAUUCCCAUAGAUCAUUUGAACCUGGAGAGGGGGGAGCUUAACGGAGAUGCUCUGAUGAAAGUGCACGCCUUUCCUCUUGUGUAUGAAUCUCAUGGUUCAGUACAGUAGGUCACUGCCAGGGGACAAAGCAUACAGGAUGUGCGCUUAACAGGAGGAGAUCUCGGCCUAGUGCCACAAAGCUCCCACCACCAAUUAAACACGGGAACAGCGGAACUGUUACGCUAAAAAUGUCAGAUGCUUUCUAUUCUCAGCACCUCUAUAAUUUUUGAUUUAUGCUAUACAGUAACAUAUAACAAUGCACCAAUGCCUUCUCUGCAUGAAGACCCUCCCAUACAUUUAAGGACCAGAUCUGGUGGUACCGCUGACAUGAGACACAUUUUUCAUAGAUCUAUCUGGAACCUCAGAACCACAUCUGUUUUAAGUGAUUUUACUGGAUUUGAGGUGGCUGAGCUUAAGCUUAUUGUGGCUAAAUGACAAAUUACCAUAACCAAUCAGACA